rnacentral:lncRNA from 1 species
AGUCCAGGCAGCCACCAGCUGGCCUGGUCUUGCUGCUUCCUUUAGCGGCUUCCAAGGUCCAGGGACAGGGGGUCUGGGCCACCAAGAGGCUCUGCUAGGCUGUCCCUGCAGCCACAGCCACCCCACUGGACCCCUGCCUCCCAUCUGAGAGGACAGCCCUCUUCCUGGAGCUGGGAUCUGACACUUGCUGAUACCAACGGCAGAUACCAGGUCAAGGAUUCGGUGACUUGAAGACAGGCCUCCUCUGUUGCUUUGAGUCAAUUUCUAGUACCUGGGCCUAAAUCUUGACUGCACACCGGUCAUAUUAUUGAGGUAACGAGAUGUGAGCAGAAACAACCUGUGUCACACCUGGGCAGAAGCUUUAAAGGCCAGUGCUGCCCUUGUUGGGGAAGCAAGUAUAGAUAUGAAUCGUUCCACAACGCGGAGCGCCCCCUGCCGACCCAUGCUGGGCGUGUACUAUAGAUGAGGAGACUGAGGAUCAGAGAGAUAAAGUCACCUGUCCAAGGUCAUACUGUGGAUGUAGCUCUAACCCAAGCCCUCCCGACUGCAGCACAAAUUCUCAGCCACUACCCUAUUAGCCCCUUCAUUUGAAGGUGUCUUCAUCAUUGCCAAGAUUCCUUUUCCUCCCGGCCCCCUAAGUCUUCAGGAUUCCCUCAUCUCAUCUCCCCAGAGAAGCCAUGACACCAUCUUCUCCAAAAACAAAGUCAGCGCUUUCACUGUAGAUGGACCUGUGUUCUUCCCCCAAACUCAGUCCACCUCAUCUCCAGAAAAACUAUAUGACUUGCCCUGGAGAAGAGGGGGAAAAAAAAACCUCUUCCCACCAACUCCACCUCCCAAAUUACUGGAUUUGGGGUAAAUUUACAGGCUGGAGACAGAAGAAUGGAUGUGUAUUUAGCUUUCAAAUUGACUAUUGUUUUAUGUGAAUGUCUGAUAAAGAAAACACAAUGGCUGCCAGAUGGGGCCUGGGAGUGAGAUUUCCCAUGUGGAGAAUUCUAGAAGACAUGCCUGGAGUUCUGGAGCCUGGAUCCUCUGGACAGACAGGUGGCCAGCUAACCAGGGUGGAGGCACCAAAGAUAACUGUGGGGUGGGGAGAAGACACCAGCCCAAGAGAUUUGACUGGGAUUGGUCUACGCAAGAAUGGAAAAUGGAGGCAGAAUGAGUUAGCAGCAAGCACACGUACACUGCUAUAGAAUCUGAGGGACCCGGCCAGUGCUGGCCAAUAGAAAUAGAAUGUGAGCCACAGACAUAAUUUAAACUUUUCUUGUAGUCACUUAAAAACAUGGUAAAUCUAUGAAAUAGAAGAUUGCUCGUGCAAAUAAAUGAACUCUGCUUUGGUCUCAGUGAUCAGGGGUCCCACACUCAAGUGCCCUCAAUACCCAGAGAAGUAACUGAAAUAAAUGGAACAGAUAGGGUGUGAGCAAAGUUCACACGUUCCUCUAAGAAAAACAAUACAGCAAACAUGGUGAUUUAUGUUCAUUAAUAAGUUUCCGUAUGGGGACACUAAGGAAUAGUGGGGACUACGGCAAAUUAGAGGAAGCAUGAGAAUCUAAAGUGGCUCCAGGAGACUGUUGUCUCAUAGGUAUCAGUGUUGCUAGACCUUCACUUUUUUUAAAGGAGGUGAAAGUUGGGAUUUUCUUUAAUUUAUUUUUUUGACAGGGUCUUGCUCUGUCGCCCAGGCUGGAGUGCAGUGGCGAUCUUGGCUCACGGCAAUCUCCACCUCCUGGGUUCAAGAGAUUCUCCUGCCCCAGCCUCCUAAGUAGCUGGGAUUACAGGCGUGCUCCAGCAUGCCUGGCUAAUUUUUGCAUUUUUAGUAGAGAUGGGAUUUCCCACUGUUGGCCAAGCUGAUCUCGAAUUCCUGACCUCAAGUGAUCUGCCCACCUCCACCUCCCAAAGUGCUGGGAUUACAGGUGUGAGCCACCGGGCCCAGCCUCUAAUUUUUGUAUUUUUUGUAGAGACAGAAUCUUGCUGUGUUCAAGACCAGCCUGGCCAACAUGGCGAAACCCCGUCUCUACUAAAAAUACAAAAAUUAGCUGGGCAGUAGUGGCACGCGCCUGUAAUCCCAGCUACUCCAGAGGCUGAGGCAGGAGAAUUACUUGAACCUGGGAGGCGGAGAUUGCAGUGAGCCCAGAUCGAACCAUUGCAUUCCAGCCUCGGCGACAAGAUUGAGACUCCGUCUCAAAAACAAAAAGCAACAACAAAAAAAAUUGUUUGAAAGCCACUAAUCUGCCCAUAGCCUCUAACUUACAAGUAAGGAAGCUAAGGCCUACAAAUGUCAAGUACCUGAGAUCCUGUGUGUGUCAGGGCUAGAGCUGGGACCACAACCUGCUCCCAGCGCUGAGCCCUGCAGGCAGCUGGGUUUGCCUGGGAAGCUGCCCAGGGGAGCACCCAGGCCUCCCUCCAGUUUCUCUGGCUCUGCCCAGGGCAGGGCCGCCUGCUCUCUCCCUGUCUCCCCACCUCCUCUGCCCUUCGUCAUGCCUGUUUUGACAACUUUCUGACCUGCUCCUUCACAAACUCUGCUGGAGGUAUGGCUGCCUCCACUGCUUG